rnacentral:lncRNA from 1 species
AGAUGUCAAUUGAAAGUUUCUAAGGAAAGUGAUGAGUAAAACACAUUCUUGCAUACAGAUAGUAUAAUCGAGAUUCUGCAAUUAAGGUACUGCUUUACUUUGAAAAGCAGUAUCAAUGAGUCAAGCCCAACCUGUAUGUGUACUUGGAUCAAGUUGUCAGUGGACCCCUCUAAGACAAAAGGCUGAACUGCAAGAAAUAUGGAGGAGGAAGAAUUCUAAUUUCAUCCCUUUCCAACUUGCAAAGUAACAAAGGUAUGUGCAAUUUCAUUUCUUAGUAAAAUUCAUUUAUUUACCAGAUCUUUUUAUCAAUCCUAUUAAUUUUUCAUAAUUUUUCAUUGAACUUUGAUUAAAUUCCUUCCUUUUUCAUGAGAAUGUGGGGAGUUGGAAUUACCAGAGGUGAGUAGGGAAUUAGCUGCAUCACAGGCAGAUUUGUUUUGUUUGGCUCUGAAAUAAAAAAGUUAGUGGGGAGAAGUUGUACA